rnacentral:rRNA from 1 species
AUGCAGUCGACGGAGCACCCUUGACUGAGGUUUCGGCCAAAUGAUAGGAAUGCUUAGUGGCGGACUGGUGAGUAACGCGUGAGGAACCUGCCUUCCAGAGGGGGACAACAGUUGGAAACGACUGCUAAUACCGCAUGACGCAUGACCGGGGCAUCCCGGGCAUGUCAAAGAUUUUAUCGCUGGAAGAUGGCCUCGCGUCUGAUUAGCUAGAUGGUGGGGUAACGGCCCACCAUGGCGACGAUCAGUAGCCGGACUGAGAGGUUGACCGGCCACAUUGGGACUGAGAUACGGCCCAGACUCCUACGGGAGGCAGCAGUGGGGAAUAUUGGGCAAUGGACGCAAGUCUGACCCAGCAACGCCGCGUGAAGGAAGAAGGCUUUCGGGUUGUAAACUUCUUUUGUCAGGGAAGAGUAGAAGACGGUACCUGACGAAUAAGCCACGGCUAACUACGUGCCAGCAGCCGCGGUAAUACGUAGGUGGCAAGCGUUGUCCGGAUUUACUGGGUGUAAAGGGCGUGCAGCCGGGCCGGCAAGUCAGAUGUGAAAUCUGGAGGCUUAACCUCCAAACUGCAUUUGAAACUGUAGGUCUUGAGUACCGGAGAGGUUAUCGGAAUUCCUUGUGUAGCGGUGAAUGCGUAGAUAUAAGGAAGAACACCAGUGGCGAAGCGGAUAACUGGACGGCAACUGACGGUGAGGCGCG